CACCAAUCGAGCCCCGCUCGGUAUUGGGCCUCGUCCCCACAGGACGGGCCUCGAAGACCCCGGCCGCGCGGUCCCGCUUCAGGCGUAGCAGAGCUUUCGUAGCCUCGCCUUGGAAGCGUGUCCGUGCCGCGCCGAACGACGAACCCCUUUCUAUCAA
rnacentral:misc_RNA from 1 species